GUCGGACAGUCUGUCGCUGGUCUUUUGUAAAAAGGCGGGAGGAAAGUCCGGGCAACAUAGGGCACCCCACUUCUUAACGGGAAGUAGUCUGUGAGGGUUAGAUCAUGUAGAAGAAAAUAACCGCCUGCUUCGGCAGGUAAGGGUGAGAAGGUGAGGUAAGAGCUCACCAGGCGGGCGGUGACGUCCGUGCUGUGCAUUCUGGGGGUUGAAAGUUCGCGUAAACCGGCGCUAACGAAAGGCGGCCCGUCUGAGUCGGAGGGUAGAACGAUAGAGCCUUGUGGUGACAUAAGGCGUGGAUAAAUGACAGACGCCUUGAUUUUCAAGGAACAGAACCCGGCUUAUCGUCUGGCUGC
rnacentral:RNase_P_RNA from 1 species